rnacentral:rRNA from 1 species
GAUGAACGCUGGCGGCGUGCCUAAUACAUGCAAGUCGAGCGAAUGGAUUAAGAGCUUGCUCUUAUGAAGUUAGCGGCGGACGGGUGAGUGACACGUGGGUAACCUGCCCAUAAGACUGGGAUAACUCCGGGAACCCGGGGCUAAUACCGGAUAAUAUUUUGAACUCAAUGGUUCCAAAUGGAAAGGCGUCUUCGGCUGUCACUUAUGGAUGGACCCGGGUCGCAUUAGCUAGUUGGUGAGGUAACGGCUCACCAAGGCAACGAUGCGUAGCCGACCUGAGAGGGUGAUCGGCCACACUGGGACUGAGACACGGCCCAGACUCCUACGGGAGGCAGCAGUAGGGAAUCUUCCGCAAUGGACGAAAGUCUGACGGAGCAACGCCGCGUGAGUGAUGAAGGCUUUCGGGUCGUAAAACUCUGUUGUUAGGGAAGAACAAGUGCUAGUUGAAUAAGCUGGCACCUUGACGGUACCUAACCAGAAAGCCACGGCUAACUACGUGCCAGCAGCCGCGGUAA